rnacentral:rRNA from 1 species
GACAGAGGAUGCAAGCGUUAUCCGGAAUGAUUGGGCGUAAAGAGCUCGUAGGCGGUUUGUCGCGUCUGCUGUGAAAACUGGAGGCUCAACCUCCAGCCUGCAGUGGGUACGGGCAGACUAGAGUGCGGUAGGGGGAGAUUGGAAUUCCUGGUGUAGCGGUGGAAUGCGCAGAUAUCAGGAGGAACACCGAUGGCGAAGGCAGAUCUCUGGGCCGUAACUGACGCUGAGGAGCGAAAAGCAUGGGGAGCGAACAGG